rnacentral:rRNA from 1 species
CCUACGGGCUGCAGCAGUGGGGAAUAUUGCACAAUGGGCGCAAGCCUGAUGCAGCCAUGCCGCGUGUAUGAAGAAGGCCUUCGGGUUGUAAAGUACUUUCAGCGGGGAGGAAGGCGAUAAGGUUAAUAACCUUGUCGAUUGACGUUACCCGUAGAAGAAGCACCGGCUAACUCCGUGCCAGCAGCCGCGGUAAUACGGAGGGUGCAAGCGUUAAUCGGAAUUACUGGGCGUAAAGCGCACGCAGGCGGUCUGUCAAGUCGGGUGUGAAAUCCCCGGGCUCAGCCUGGGAACUGCAUUCGAAACUGGCAGGCUGGAGUCUUGUAGAGGGGGGUAGAAUUCCAGGUGUAGCGGUGAAAUGCGUAGAGAUCUGGAGGAAUACCGGUGGCGAAGGCGGCCCCCUGGACAAAGACUGACGCCCAGGUGCGGAAGCGUGGGGAGCAAACAGGAUUAGAUACCCGUGUAGUC